GGCAUAAUAGCUCAGUUGGUUAGAGCGCUUCCAUAUCAUGAGAGUGAUGUGGGUUCGAAUCCUGCUUAAGCCA